rnacentral:rRNA from 1 species
UACGUAGGGUGCAAGCGUUGUCCGGAAUUAUUGGGCGUAAAGAGCUCGUAGGCGGUUUGUUGCGUCGGCUGUGAAAACCUGAGGCUCAACCUCAGGCCUGCAGUCGAUACGAGCAGACUAGAGUGUUGCAGGGGACGACUGGAAUUCCUGGUGUGAGCAGUGAAAUGCGUAGAUAUCAGGAGGAACACCGAUGGCGAAGGCAGGUCUCUGGGCUGACACUGACGCUCAUGCACGAAAGGCGUGGGGAGCGAACAGG